UCCCUCUUAGCUCAGUUGGUAGAGCGCGUCACUCGUAUAAUUGUAAUAUCAAGUUUGCGAUGACGAGGUCAGUCGUUCGAAUCGGCUAGCGGGAA